rnacentral:rRNA from 1 species
GACGAACGCUGGCGGCGUGCUUAACACAUGCAAGUCGAACGGAAAGGCCCCUUUGGGGGUACUCGAGUGGCGAACGGGGGAGUAACACGUGCGUAACCUGCCCUUGACUUCGGGAUAACUUCAGGAAACUGGGGCUAAUACCGGAUAGGAAUCCUUGCUGCAUGGUGGGGGUUGGAAAGCUUCGGCGGGUUUGGAUGGACUCGCGGGUUAUCAGCUUGUUGGUGGGGUAGUGGCUUACCAAGGCGUUGACGGGUAGCCGGCCUGAGAGGGCGACCGGCCACAUUGGGACUGAGAUACGGCCCAGACUCCUACGGGAGGCAGCAGUGGGGAAUAUUGCACAAUGGGCGGAAGCCUGAUGCAGCAACGCCGCGUGCGGGAUGACGGCCUUCGGGUUGUAAACCGCUUUCAGCAGGGGCGAAGCUUGUGGUGACGGUACCUGCAGAAGAAGCACCGGCUAACUACGUG